rnacentral:rRNA from 1 species
AUGCACGUCGUCCCGCCCCUGUGCGUUGACCACAGACAACGUUACGCCAGGUACAAACCACUCUCCUGCUUCGCCUACAGUAGCCCGCAGCCACGCUGGCAAGCUCCAAGGCCAUCCCCAAAGAAUGUACAUAUGCCAAGUUCGAGUACCCACGACGUGUGUUUUCUGCAACCAAGUACCACGACUACCGCCGGUGUGCAUUUUUUCAAGUCCGACUAUGACAAACGACUACAUGAUGGGACGCCAAGUACCACUACGUCGGAGUCCUCGGAUCCGUCAAGUUCCACUAUGAAACGUACAAAUACCGUCGACCCUGGAGACCUCGGUUUCAUCAAGUUCCCACGACGACUUAAGUGUACCCCUCGGAUACGUCAAGUGCGACUACACUACGAGACAAAGUACGCUAAGUACCUCUCCGAAAACGAACAUGUACUGCUAUGCCCGGAGGCAUCAGAUCCAUCAAGUCCAACAACGACUAUGCUCAACUAA